rnacentral:rRNA from 1 species
UACGUAGGGGGCAAGCGUUGUCCGGAUUUAUUGGGCGUAAAGCGCGUGUAGGCGGCCCUGCAAGUCGGAUGUGAAAUCCCACGGCUCAACCGUGGAAGUGCAUUCGAAACUGCAGGGCUAGAGUCCUGGAGAGGAAGGUGGAAUGCUUGGUGUAGAGGUGAAAUUCGUAGAUAUCAAGCGGAACACCGGUGGCGAAGGCGGCCUUCUGGACAGUGACUGACGCUGAGGCGCGAAAGCUAGGGUAGCAAACGGG